UACGGAGGGUGCAAGCGUUAAUCGGAAUUACUGGGCGUAAAGGGUGCGUAGGUGGUUUGAUAAGUUAACUGUGAAAGCCCUGGGCUCAACCUGGGAAUGCCAGUUAAUACUGUUAGACUAGAGUAUGGGAGAGGAUAGUGGAAUUUCCGGUGUAGCGGUGAAAUGCGUAGAGAUCGGAAGGAACACCAGUGGCGAAGGCGGCUAUCUGGCCUAAUACUGACACUGAAGCACGAAAGCGUGGGGAGCAAACAGG
rnacentral:rRNA from 1 species